UCUUCCUUCAACAUUGAAAAAGGAAAAUACAAAAGAAGAAGCAGCAUUUAUUUUUCCUAUAAAGUUGUAUUCAACUAUAUCGGUGCUGUAUCUUUGGCUCUUUAUCCUUGAUAUGUUGGGGUAACAUUGCACCAUUUUAACAAUUCAACAUAUGUGCCUUGUCGUGCCAUUUCCCAUCUGUUGAGAAAUCCACGUCCUAUAUGUUGCCAAAUCUAGUUUCCAACAUGUUUCCUGUAUGUGGCAGUUGUCGAUUUUGUUGUUGCAUUAUGCAUAUUUUGUUAUGAAUACAGAUUAUAGUUAUUGAGAAUGGAAAAGUAGUAGAACAAGGACCACAUGAGGUUCUCUUAUCGAAGGCUGGGAGAUAUGCACAACUUUGGGCACAGCAGAAUUCAACUGUUGAUUCCAUCGAUGCCUCCAUCAAACUAGAGGCAUAAAUACCUCACUCAGGUCCCUUCCUCUCAGCAAAAAAAUUUUUCGGCCUCUGUAGCAAUUGAAUGUGCAACGUUUAUUAUAAUGUCUAUCCAUAAUUUGCAAAGAUUUCAAAUGUGGAUGUCAUUGACUAUUAUUAUUAUUAUUUUUUU